GCCGCCGGCUGGGGCCCGUGUGCCUUGCCUCCCGUGCAUCCGUCUGAGUGUCCCGGCUCCCUGGUGCCGCCCUGGGCCCGGGUCUCUUCCGACUCACCUGGGUGUGGCGGGGAAAGGCCGGUGCGGGCGGGCGGGCUCCCGUCUGCCUGCGUGUGCGCUCCCUGCUGCGGGCACCUGGGGCGGUCGCGACGACCCCGUUCCGUUGGCUCCGUGCCGUGCGUGUCAGGCAGUCCUCCUCUCCUCUGGGGUUGUCCGCCGUCCCUUCCCCGGAGCGGGGCUGGCCGGCCUCGGGCCCGUGGGCUCCGUGGCUUUGCUGAGGUUGACUCCUUCGCCCCGCUCUGGGUCUCUUCCGAUCGGUGGGGUCCUCUGACGCGGCAGGCAUCCCUCGCUCUCGCCUCCUGUGGUUGUUGCCUUGUCGGGGGCGGCCCCUCUCCGCGGCGGUGGGGGGCUCGUCCCGAUGGCCCGUCGUGCUGCCCUCGCCGGGGUGGUGCGAGCGUUGGCUCCGCUUGGGCCUUUUGCGGUGCUCCUGGAGCGCUCCGGGUUGUCCCUCAGGUGCCCGAGGCCGAGCGGUGGUGUCGUUCCCGCCCCCGGGGCCCCCUCCUCCGGUUGCCGCCAUGGGGUCUGCGUGUGGGUCCCGAGGAGAAGCGCUCAGCUCGUCGGAGGGUUGUCGUCGAGGCGAUCGAUCGAGGUUUUGUGCCCCUCGACGCGGGGUUGAGGGGGUGCCUCGGGUUCCGCUCCUCUCGCCGUAGACCUCAUCCCUCCCUUCCCUGGGUGUCCCUGAGCGCCUCCGUGGGCGGCCCGGCGAGGGGCGACCGGUGGGUGGGGGAGUGUGACCCGCCCUCGGUGAGAAAGCCUUCUCUAGCGAUCCCAGAGGUGUGCUUUGGGGGUACCGGACUCCCCCGGCCCGCCGCCUCUCUCUGCGUUGUGGUAGCGCUUCCGCGUGGCGAUUGGAUUCGCUCGUGUGUAGGCAGAGUUCCCUCUUCCUCCUCGGUGGCGGGGAGAAGUGGGGUCCGCCGGUCUCCGCGGUGGGGACCGAGCGCCGCUCGUCGCCUACUGUGGCCCGCGCCUCCCCCCUCUGAGUCGGGGGAGGGUCCCGCCGGGCCGGGCCCUGUGUCCUCGCCGUUGGGGAGGUCGUCGCUUGAAGGCUGGGUGCGUGUGGCGUCCCGUCUGGCGCGUGACCCCCUUCCGCUGCGAGCCGGCUCUCCGCCCGCUCCCGUGCCGUGCCGAGCCCUUGCCGGUGCCGGCGACCGCGCUGUGUGCGGGGCGACGGGUCGGGCCGCCUGGGCCCGGGAAAGCGUCCCCACGGUGGGGCGUGCCGGUCUCCCGGAGCGGGACCGGGUCGCGGAUGGACGAGAUCCUGGGUGUGUCGCCCUGGCGUCGGGCUUGUCGCUGUGGUCGCUCCGGGGCCCCCGGCGGUGGGGUCCGGGUCCCGUGAGGGGUCUCCGCGGUGGUGCCGAGGGCCGGCCGGUGUCCCGGGUGGGAGGGCUGCGGGACCGCCCUCGUGUCUGUGGCGGUGGGAUCCCGUGGUCGUGUCUUCCCCGGUGGCCCGGCUGUGCCCGAGGUUCCCGCCCGGGUCCUCGGCGGGCUCCCGUGCCCCUGCCCUCGUGGGCCCCGGCCCUGCGUGUGCGCCCGCUCCCCGCCGCUGCCUGCCGAUCCUUUCUCUCUGAGCGGCUCUCCGGCUGCGCCGGGGCGGCCCCGUCUGGGACCCGAGCCGGCUCCGCCUUGAGGGGCGUCGCCCCCGGCCACCAUCGGCCGGUGUCCGCGUCCCCCCGGUGUGUGCCUCGGCUUCGCGCACCGGCGGCGGUCGGCCCCGCGUGGGCCCGGUGGGCGUCGGAGAGGUCGGGUCGGCCCGCCGCGUGUGUAGGGAAGACGGUUAUGGGGCGCUGGCCGCGACUGCGGUGGCGGUGUGGGGGAGCCGCGGGCCCCCGAGAGGCGUGCGUGGGUCGCCGAAGGCCAGGCGGCCGCUCCGUGUGCCGCGCGGGACCGCCCCUGUGUGCCCAAACGGGCCGCUGGCGGUGAGACCCCGUUGUGUGUCCACGGCUGCUGCGGUCGUCUGUGCCCGAGGCUUCUCCCCGGAUCCUCGCGGUGGCCCGCCGCCCACCCCCUCCCCGCUCGCCGCCUUCCCCGCGCCUUCCACGGUCGCCUCGGGCUUGCCCGGGGUCUCGUCUCCUCCCGAACCCGCUCUCCCGCUCCGCGUCCGCGCGCCCCGGGUGCGCGCCUCGCUUCCCGGGCCCGCCGGGGCCCCUCCCCGAGGCGUCUUGGGUGUCGACGUCCGGGGGCGGCGGCGUGUCCUUCCCCCGCGUUGCGGGUCCCGUUCGGCGCGUGCGUGCGCCCGAGCGCGCCCCGGUGGUCUCUCCCGGCCAGCCGUCGUGUGUAAGUAAGGUCGACCUCCGGCCUGCCGGCCGCCCGCCCCCCGGUUCGAGGGGGGGGCCCGGGCCGGGACCUCCGGUCCCGGUCCCGGUCCCUCGUUCCGGGUCGGUGGGUCGGCCGGACGGCUUCC
ensembl:lncRNA